CUGAAGACAACUCCUCAUUUUACAAAUCACGAAGAAGUUCACCUUCAGAGAAAUCAGCCAUCUACAAUUACAACUUUAAUCAGAGAAAGCUGCUCAAUUGACAUCAACUACACGUACAUUUAUCAUUAGUACAAGAAAUGUCUGAAAUGAGAGUCAAGGAGCUGAAACCAACUCAUGAAACCAUGUUGAGCAUUGAUUAACUGGACAUCAAUCUGUAAAGCAAUCCUAGAGAACUCAGCCUUGUUAACAAAGUGGUAAGCACCACAUAUGCAGCUACUAAGGA